rnacentral:misc_RNA from 1 species
AAGUCGUAACAAGGUCUCCGUAGGUGAACCUGCGGAGGGAUCAUUACUGAGUUACACUCAAACCCUGUUUAACAAUCUGUUGCUUCGGAGGCGCCCCUCGGGAGGGGAUCUGCUUCGGCCGCCUCCAAAAGCACCUUAACUUUUAACUGUGUCUUCAAUUUGAGUAAUAAACAAAAUUAAAACCUCAACAACGGAUCUCUUGGUUACA